rnacentral:rRNA from 1 species
GAUCCUGGCUCAGGAUGAACGCCGGCGGCGUGCCUAACACAUGCAAGUCGAACGAAGCUUGACGGAUGAUUUCUUCGGAAUGAAACCAGAUAUGACUUAGUGGCGGACGGGUGAGUAACACGUGAGCAACCUGCCUUUCAGAGGGGGAUAACGGCUGGAAACGGUCGCUAAUACCGCAUGAUGUGUUCGGAUGGCAUCAUCUGAACAUCAAAGAUUUAUCGCUGAAAGAUGGG